rnacentral:lncRNA from 1 species
AACCAACCAACAAAACACACCCAGUUACAUUACCAUGGCAGCUCCAAACCAAAUUUUCAAAAAAUGGUGUAACGGUAACACAGAACUCUCAAUUUUAAAAAUGAACAAACUAGUGACGAAAGCUCGCCUGCUCGUCGAAAGGUUUCGUUAAGGUGUAUAUGUAGCCGCAGUCGAGACAUAUAUGAGUUGCUCGAUCCUGGAAGAUUAGAAAUAUCAGUCAGGCGGGGUUGCUGGGAAUGAAACUCACGGAGGAGCCAUAGCAUACCAAUUAACCAAUUUAUACAUUCAGCCUUGCCUUCUGAGCGUCGGUUAACUUCCGUCCAAAUCGAGGUGGUGCCGGCCGCUUCUGCAGCCUUUUGACGUCCACAUCAGCUCCUCUGCAUCCCCCAAAAAAAAAAGAAAAAAUGAUUUGACAAAAUGAAUAACAAAAUAUUUUCCUGAAUGUACACGUUUCUUUGCAGCCAACUGGGAUGAUCAGACAUCUCACAAAAACUACACCGACUCAGGAAGAUGACGCUGCGUCCACAAUCUGAAGAUGGGAAGGUGCUUACCAACACCAUCAAGCAAGCAACGGAGUACUUCUGAAUUAUAUUUGAUGUUUGUCAAGGCCCAAAGGGUUCAGAUAUUAGGAAGGCACUUUUCCCUAUCAUUACAAUGAUCAUACAUACAGGCUAAAAGUGGAACAUCUCCCAAGGAGGCCAGAAAAUGAAACGGGUCAUUCAUAUAAUACUCUGCCGUCAGCAAUUCUUCGAAAGAAUUAAUCUGUACCACUACCAAAUUAAGCUAUGGCCCAAAAUAUCUUGUAAAUUCCAGAGUCAGAGUGGGGUUAAAAUCCAAACCCAAAUUUUGCAUGUAAAAUUAAUGAGCAAAGCAAAAGAAGAGCUUGCCUGCUGAUUACAAAGUAGACGGAAUCUUGCUUCGCCUGAAGAGCGGUUUUGGUAAAUCCAAGCUUAUCAGCAGGCCAAAGUUCAUCCCCAAAGAAGCUGCUUGUGUAGAGGACCUGGUCGCCAACCUUGAGCCCUGCUCUUGCAGCGUUGCCACCACCUUCUACUCCCUGAUACCAACCAACUUGAAGUUAGCAGUAGACAAUUGGCAUCAAACGAAAAUUCUAUCGGCCGGUUUUUGACAAGGACGUAAGAGGGGAGGGGAGCGAGGACUGACCGCGAUGACCACACCACCACCCGACUUUUGACCCAAGGUUAGGCCCAGCGGUUUGUCUACUUCAACCUCGAUGGUCCUUGAAGCCCCAGCAGUUCUUGCUGUAAUCUCAAGACCUCUUCUUUCUUUUCUGCCGGUACUAGCAGUACUGAUCUCAGCCAUGAAAGAAGUUGAAACUCCCCAUUUGGCCUCUUGAAGCGAAAGCCCUUGGAUGCUGGAUUUCUGCCAGCACCAACACCAGAAAUUUAUCAGUAAUACUGACAGCAAUUAUGUACAAAGAAGUUGAAGCAGAAUUAGGGUAUACUUUUAACCAUAUAUACCUGGGAGUGGGGAGUUAGCAGCUUUGCAUUUGCAGAUGGAAUUGAGGAGUUGGAUUUGAAGGAGAGGUUUCUUGCAUAAGCAGCUGAGCAAGAAGAGGAAGCACCCGUUACGACAGAGGAUGACAUAUCGGAGGGGUGCUGGGCUUUGAUCUAUAGGCAGCGGUCACCGGCGAUGAAUCAGGACUUAGAACUAGAAGAAGGGCUGGGCUGGGCUGGGAGAAAUUUUGUAGUGCCCGUCUCCUUUAGCAACAUUAUCCAUCGGUCUUGGUUGGUUGGGAAUUUUGUGGACGAUAUAACACUCGUCCAAAGUCCGAAUUUGGACGACGUGCCUCUCCUAGGAAGGACAUGGACAUUUUAUGCUGUAUUUGGACUGCAAUUUUUUAAAGAAAAAUUACUAUAUUUUUUAUGAAUUUUUUUAAAUUAAUUUUUUAUUUUAUAUAUAUUAAAUUAUUACAGUAAUUUUUUUUUAUAUAAAAUUUAAAAAAAUGCAAUCCAAACAAAUCUUAAAUUAUUAAUAAAUGAAGACACAUGUGAUAUAUGCAUUGCAUUGCAUCAUAUAGAAAUAAUUCACUGUUGAAGAGCCAAGUGCCCAGAGUCCACCCUCAUUGCUCCAAAUAAUUAAAACUAACAGACCAAGAGAGCCACUGCCUGCAAAUCGAGGAGAAAAAAAAAAACAGACACCCGUAUAAAAAGAAAAAAAAUUGUGAUAAUUUUGUGUAUAUGAAUAAAAAAAUAAUUAGAAAAAUAUGCUUCACAAAAAAUAUAAAAACUUUUCUAUGGAAAAUUGUUUGGGUAUAAGGAAGUCACGUCUUGGUUAUCCAAAGGAUCACCUUCCUGUGUGGCAUGCAAAAAAGGCACACAAUGAUGAUUCUUUGACAGUUAGCCAGUUAUUUGAAAUAUAUCAAAAUACAUAGAAGGAUGACAAUUGCCCCAUAAAAAGGGAUGGGACAAAGUCUCAAUUUGAUCAUCUAAAAUAAUAAAAUAGUUCCAACUUCGUUGUUCAAACCUACUUGAUUAAUAACUAUAGGAAAAAAGCGGACUUUAAAAGACAAAAAUCAUAAAAGAUUUUUUUAUCAUUCUACUGAAACAUUUCUUACUUUAGUGAUUUCAAUCAGAUAAGUGUCUUCAUUUUUUGAGAUAAAUUAGUGUACUUUUUUUUUUUUUUUUGAAUUAUAGUUCCAUGAACCCUCUAAAUUGCUUUAUAUCUGUAAUCUGAUUGGUAAUUCCAUUUUACCCUCCCAUCUUUCUUUACGUCCUUCUCACCUCUACAUGCCAGGUACAGAGUUCGAAUUUUAAAUUUAGCAGUAAAAAAAAACUUUAAAAAUUUUCCCUGACCACUGAGACGACUUCCAUUGGUUUAUUUGUAAUGUUUUUAAGAAAGUGAACUUGUAAAAAAUUUUCUGAUUUGGGAGGUGUAAAUUGAGAAAUUUUCAAUUUAAGGGACCAAAUUGAGAAUUUUUGCUACCGUGGGGAGCAAAAAAAAAAAAAAAUUUCGAGAUUGAGAAAACAAACGGAGAUGUCUCGCUACUCUAGACAAUCUAAUUGAGACUUUUACAAUGUAAGGGCCCAAAUGGAGAUUUUAAACAAAUUUGAAGGACCAAAAUGGAAUUAAAUUCUAUCUUAAAUCAUUGUAUUAAUCCAUUCGUUCAUAGAAGACGUCACUACCUGCUUGAUUGCCUGCUCGAUGACAAUGGCUGUGCCCCAAAUCCAAACUUCACCGCUUAAGCAUGAACUUUAGUAGUAGUCUUAUUAAACCAGAAAAAAAAAAAAAAAGAGCCAAUUACGUAUUAAGCGUGUCUCAUGCAGGCGAUCCGUUGGUCAGGACCCAGGUCCGUCAUGCUCGCCCAGGAAGGGAAGGAACUAAAAAAAAAAAUGGAGGCGAUUUCGACUCCCACAAUCCCCGCCUGGAAUCCUCUUAUACUUGUAUUGGUCCUCUGGAGAAUCUCGUCUCGUUCAUGUACCGUUCAUUUUCGAUACCACCUUACGGCACGCGAUGCGCUAGGCUACCCUUUUCUAUCAAGUUAUCGCAAAUUUAAUGAACAGUUGUCCAUCUAACCGGAUGGAGAACGAGCACCCUUGCUUGGCACUGAUGAAGAGUCACUAGUCGCUCGUAUAUAUAUAUAUAUAUAUAUAUAUUUUUUUUAAUGCUUAAACUCUAUCACUUAAAGAGCAGAAAGAAUUUUAAAAGCACUAUCCUGACCACUAAACCAGCAUUAGUAGUUAAACUAAUAUAGUGGAGUACUUGGUACUUACUACGUUGGAAUAAAAUGGUAGUUUAAGGAUAAGACUCCACUUCUCAAGUCAAUUUUUUGAUGAUAUUUCAUUCCAGUUGAGAAAGGUAAAAAUUAGCCUAUUAUUCUAAAAUUCUUGUGGCAUUAAAAAAAUUCGAACUUUAGCAAAUAUCACCAUCCCAUCAGAAUAUAAUUUUUGGGUUAAAUACCAAAAAUCCCCCUGUGGUUUGCCUAAUGUUCACUUUAUCUCCCUAUGGUUUGGAAACCUACAAUUUGACUCCCUGUCGCUUCAACUAAAGUGUAUUUAACGGAAUUUAUGUUAGAUUUUCACUUUAGGUGAAACGAUAGGGAGUUAAAUUGUAUAUUUUCAAACCAUAGGGAGGUAAAGUGUACAUUAGACAAACCACAGGGAGUUUUUGGUACUUAACCCAAAACCCUUAUAGAUGGGCAAUUUUGACAUUUUCCUUUCAGACGUUAGUUUAAAUGUUUUCCGUUAGACUUUUACUUUAGUUGAAACUACAGGGAGUCAAAUUGUAGGUUUCCAAACCAUAGGGAGGUAAAGUAAAACAUUAGACAAAUCACAGGGGGGUUUUUGAUAUUUAACCCAUAAUUUUUUGUAUCACUAAUUACUAAUAAUCAGACCCCGCUGGUAGUUUCGUAACCUGAGCAGGUUUCGUGAUUGACCUCCGUGUGCUAUGUCACGCGUGUAUUUUUGGGAUAAAACUGUAUACAACUUUAGAUGAUUAGUCUGGUCGAAAUGUUUGAAUACCCUUAAGUGAGAAUGGGGAAAAAAAUUACUAAUGAUUAGCAAGAGAAAAAUGAAUGUAUAAUCUGGCGACACUUCAAACCUCCAAUAUAUACAUUUACAAUAACUGAAGACAAUUUUCUUAUCAAUCAAAAAAAUAUAUAUAUAAAAAAAGGGAAGGAUAGGACAAAGUUUAGUGUGCUCGAGCUCUCUAUCCAGGCCUCAAAACUGCUUCAAACAAUUUAAGGAUCCAGGGCACACCUAAUAAAGUAGGUAUACACUUGCAACUAGCAGACCGCUUUGGCCCGCCUAUUUUUUUCGGAUACUUAAAUUACGGGUAUCCGAAAAUAUUAGAAGCGGGUUAGGGUCGCAAAAUGAUCGAUUCGAUAUUUUAGGAUCGGGUCAGUUAAAUCUUAUUAGAGACGGAUACCCGACUCGUGCUUACCCCUAAUUAGAAGUAAUCAGUUCAAAAAAAAUUGUACUUUAUCUUCUUCCAAACGUGAUAUUUGGAAUUACAAGCCAAUUACAUACUGUCGGACCAGCAAAGCCAACACCUUUCGUUUCGUGCAAACAUUUUGUUGAAUGUUGACCCGUCCUACUUAUAAAAUUGCCAAACGAGGGAUGAUUUGACGAGGACGAGGGCAGGACGACGCCGCACCGCCACCCACAUCAAUCUCCUUAAACCUUUUGACGAUGCCGAUAUUUCGUUACAUCGAGAUUCUAGAUGCCAAAUCAAGACAAAAAAAGACUUCCAGCUAGUACUCUACGCAAAGAUUAAGCAAGCAUUUUCUGGAUUUUACCCAUUACUUAAUCAAGACUUAAUAUACUUUCAAUAAAAGACAAAAAAAAAAAAGAGAGAUUUGAGAAUUUUACCAAUAUAUUUUCAAAAUCACCGUAAAUUUUUGCAGGAGUAAAUAAUCAAGAGAAGGCGUGUGAAGGUGGUGGGAUUCGUAAAUGGGGAGAUCCUAAUAAGACGUUGGGCGGCGGGGCGGCUUUUUUAAAAAAAGUUUUAAUUUUAGGAGGUCCAAUGCGUGUGAGGAAUGAUAGAAUAGAAUAUUUAGUAGCAGGCUUUUGCUAGCACUUGGCCACCUCACCAUACCACAGCAUAAAAUAGGAUCGUUAUUACGAAAAAAAUAAUAAUAUUGCUGAUUGCUAGCAACUUUCAUCGCAUCAAUUUAGCCCAAUUUCCCAUUACAUUCCGUUUUUUUAAUUGCUGAUUACUGUUCAGAUCCAACGGAGGAGUACUCAUGCGUUGAAGAUUUACUCUCAAAUAUUUAGUUUUUAUUAAAUACAAAACCUAUCAGUUUUCCUUCCGUAAAAAUAUUAAUGUAAUAUUUUUUCAAUUUUAGUUACAAACAUUCAUGUAUUUAACAUAAAUUAAAUGAUUCAGAAUAAAAUGUUCAUAAAGAGCCAAUACUUUACUCAUCUAAUGGAUGAAAGUCAUAAAAAAUUAAUACUUUAUGGGUCAUUUUUUUAAAAAAAAUAUUUAAUUUAUAUUAAAUAGAUAACCUAUCGAUUUUCUUUUUGUAAGAAUAUUGCUGUAAUAUUUUUUGAAUUUUACUUACAAAUAUUAAUAUAUUUAUCAUUGAUAUAUUUAUUAUAAAUUAAAUAUUUGAAAGUAAAAAAAAAAUACCCAUAAAUAGUCGGUACUUUAAAUAGGUAAUGCGUACUUGCCCAUAAACUACACCCCUUAAAGUUUAUUAAUUGUUAAUUGAUUUGUAGUACUCUGUCAUUCAUUGAACAUGUAGUACAAGGAGCAAAUCUGGUACAAAAUUCUAAUUUCACUCCCUAAAGCAAUAUAUUUUAAUAGUUUGGACUGAAUUUGCAAAUGAUUAGUAAGUUCAGGGGAGGUCAGUGCAAUUUUUUAAACUAUAGGGGAGAUCAGUGCGAGUGUCAGAAACCUUAGGGAAGGUUUCUGCAAUUAUCCCAUAAUAUAAUAUACUCCUAGGCCCUAGCAGCGGUCAAAAUCACCAGCAGCAUCUGUCACCGAAGAAAGUAGAUUCCGUUAGUUAGUUGACGGUGGAGUGAGAAUUGAUGCGGUGGUCCAAGAAACUAAAUGCUACUACCGGUACUGGUACGGUACCCACCCGUACGCAGUCCUACGCGUAGGAGGUGAUGGUGGGGUAGGCAAGGCAAAACCCUGUUCCCCGCAUUUUGAGCAUGACUCCUCUAUCACUCCCAUACGCUAGCGAGCACUUGUUCGGAAAGUAGAUUAUUUAAAAUAAAUUUUUUGCCCUAUUCUAAUAUUCUAUGCUAAUUGCAGAUCAGUGAGUAAUAGGCCCACCGGCACCGGGGACUCGGACCCAAACCUUAUGCAUAUUUUUGUUUGUUCAUUUUACUCUCUCAGGGACACCUCCAAUUUUAACCGUCACCGCCCACGGUCUGUCAUAGAAAGUUUGGUUUGACUGCCAGUGCCAAUCAAAUUCAAGGGGAUAAACCAUAAAGUGAGAGGAAGUUGUCGUGGUGAUUAAAUCCCUUUAGCCUAAAUCUAAAAGGCUUUUAUAAUUUACAUCACCGCCUUCGCCCGUCACCUGCUCCCCACUCACCCCCACCAAAAUUCUCUCUCUAUAAAAGGUCUCUCCUUCCAUUUCCAUCGCUCCCUCCACAGCUCCGUGUUGCCCUUUUACUUCAUUCUCAAUCUCUCACAUCCUUUCUCAGCUGUCUGCUUCAAAUGAAACACGCACCAAAUCGAUUCCACAACAAAUCGUCAGGCAGGGAGCGAGAGGGGUGGCCGGGGAAGAGGGUCGGAUAAAUCUUUUUCCUUUACAAAAAAAAAUAGGAGUAUAUAUAUAAAUAAAAGUGACAGAAAAAAUCCAUUUUUUAUUGGAGUCCAUACGCCAAUAAUGCUCCAACACCGCCUAUGCCGGCUAUAAGCCCAAGGAUAACACCAAUGGGCAGCCCUCCGCCGACUGCUUUUCCGGUGGUCACGUCAUACCUCGCAAACCUCUUCUUCGGCGCCCUGCAUUGUGGGCAUGCAUAAUCAUCCGGCUGCAACCAACCAACAAAACACACCCAGUUACAUUACCAUGGCAGCUCCAAACCAAAUUUUCAAAAAAUGGUGUAACGGUAACACAGAACUCUCAAUUUUAAAAAUGAACAAACUAGUGACGAAAGCUCGCCUGCUCGUCGAAAGGUUUCGUUAAGGUGUAUAUGUAGCCGCAGUCGAGACAUAUAUGAGUUGCUCGAUCCUGGAAGAUUAGAAAUAUCAGUCAGGCGGGGUUGCUGGGAAUGAAACUCACGGAGGAGCCAUAGCAUACCAAUUAACCAAUUUAUACAUUCAGCCUUGCCUUCUGAGCGUCGGUUAACUUCCGUCCAAAUCGAGGUGGUGCCGGCCGCUUCUGCAGCCUUUUGACGUCCACAUCAGCUCCUCUGCAUCCCCCAAAAAAAAAAGAAAAAAUGAUUUGACAAAAUGAAUAACAAAAUAUUUUCCUGAAUGUACACGUUUCUUUGCAGCCAACUGGGAUGAUCAGACAUCUCACAAAAACUACACCGACUCAGGAAGAUGACGCUGCGUCCACAAUCUGAAGAUGGGAAGGUGCUUACCAACACCAUCAAGCAAGCAACGGAGUACUUCUGAAUUAUAUUUGAUGUUUGUCAAGGCCCAAAGGGUUCAGAUAUUAGGAAGGCACUUUUCCCUAUCAUUACAAUGAUCAUACAUACAGGCUAAAAGUGGAACAUCUCCCAAGGAGGCCAGAAAAUGAAACGGGUCAUUCAUAUAAUACUCUGCCGUCAGCAAUUCUUCGAAAGAAUUAAUCUGUACCACUACCAAAUUAAGCUAUGGCCCAAAAUAUCUUGUAAAUUCCAGAGUCAGAGUGGGGUUAAAAUCCAAACCCAAAUUUUGCAUGUAAAAUUAAUGAGCAAAGCAAAAGAAGAGCUUGCCUGC